GACGAACGCUGGCGGCGUGCUUAACACAUGCAAGUCGAACGGAAAGGCCCUGCUUUUGUGGGGUGCUCGAGUGGCGAACGGGUGAGUAACACGUGAGUAACCUGCCCUUGACUGUGGGAUAAAUUCAGGAAACUGGGGCUAAUACCGGAUAGGAGCUCCUGCUGCAUGGGGGGGGUUGGAAAGAUUCGGCGGUUGGGGAUGGACUGGCGGCUUAUCAGCUUGUUGGGGGGGUAGUGGCUUACCAAGGCUUUGACGGGUAGCCGGCCUGGGAGGGUGACCGGCCACAUUGGGACUGAGAUACGGCCCAGACUCCUACGGGAGGCAGCAGUGGGGAAUAUUGCACAAUGGGCGGAAGCCUGAUGCAGCGACGCCGCGUGCGGGAUGCCGUCCUUCGGGUUGUAAACCGCUUUCGCCUGUGACGAAGCGUGAGUGACGGUAAUGGGUAAAGAAGCACCGGCUAACUACGUG
rnacentral:rRNA from 1 species